rnacentral:misc_RNA from 1 species
AACGCACAUUGCACCCGGUGGUAUUCCGCCGGGUAUGCCUGUCUGAGCGUCAUUUCUACCCUCGAGCACUGCUCGGUGUUGGCGGAUUGCCUAGCAACCGCUGAAAAUCAACGGCGGUGGCCCCUAUGUCCCUGUAUAGUACUAUUCUUACAGUGGUUAUAGCGGUCUACCAGUCUCUUGUCGGCGCCGUAAGAAGCGCUACACUUUGAAACUCGACCUCAGAUCAGGUAGGAAUACCCGCUGAACUUAA